UACGGGGGGAGCAAGCGUUGUUCGGAUUUACUGGGCGUAAAGGGCGCGUAGGCGGCGUGACAAGUCACUUGUGAAAUCUCCGGGCUUAACUCGGAACGGUCAAGUGAUACUGUCGUGCUAGAGUACAGAAGGGGCAACUGGAAUUCUCGGUGUAGCGGUGAAAUGCGUAGAUAUCGGGAGGAACACCUGUGGCGAAAGCGGCUCACUGGACCACAACUGACGCUGAGGCGCGAAAGCUAGGGGAGCAAACAGG
rnacentral:rRNA from 1 species